AACGUAGGAGACAAACGUUAUCCGGAGUUACUGGGCGUAAAGGGCGUGUAGGUGGUUGCGUAAGUCUGGCGUGAAAUAUCUCGGCUUAACCGAGGCAGGUCGUCGGAUACUGCGUAACUGGAGGACGGUAGAGGCGUGUGGAAUUCCGGGUGUAGUGGUGAAAUGCGUAGAGAUCCGGAGGAACACCAGUGGCGAAGGCGGCUCACUGGCCCGGUACUGACGCUGAGGCACGAAAGCGUGGGGAGCAAACAGG
rnacentral:rRNA from 1 species